rnacentral:rRNA from 1 species
ACUCCUACGGGAGGCAGCAGUGGGGAAUCUUGGACAAUGGGCGCAAGCCUGAUCCAGCCAUGCCGCGUGAGCGAUGAAGGCCUUAGGGUCGUAAAACUCUUUCGCCAGGGAUGAUAAUGACAGUACCUGGUAAAGAAACCCCGGCUAACUCCGUGCCAGCAGCCGCGGUAAUACGGAGGGGGUUUAGCGUUUGUUUCGGAAUUACUGGGCGUAAAGCGCGCGUAGGCGGAUUAGUUAGUCAGAGGUGAAAUCCCGGGGCUCAACCCGGAACUGCCUUUGAUACUGCUAGUCUUGAGUUCGAGAGAGGUGAGUGGAAUUCCGAGUGUAGAGGUGAAAUUCGUAGAUAUUCGGAGGAACACCAGUGGCGAAGGCGGCUCACUGGCUCGAUACUGACGCUUGAGGUGCGAAAGUGUGGGGAGCAAACAGGAUUAGAUACCCUGGUAGCACAGAG